rnacentral:rRNA from 1 species
CCCGGGCCUUGUACACACCGCCCGUCACACCACGAAAGUUGGCAACACCCGAAGCCGGUGGGCUAACCCGCAAGGGAGGCAGCCGUCGAAGGGUGGGGGUUGAUGAUUGGGGGUG